AGUAAAUAUGUUAGAGAGAGAUAGAAAACCUGAGAGUAAAUAUGUUAGAGAGAAAUGAGAAAAACUGAAGUAAAUAUGUUAGAGAGAGAUUAGAAAACACUGACUGUAAAUAUGUGUAGAGAAGAUGAGAACACUGAGACUGUAAAUGAGGUUAGAAGAGAUGAAAAACACUGACAGUAUAUAUUGUGAAGAGAGAUGAGAAAACACUGACAGUAAUUGUAGAGAUGAGAACACUGACAGUAAAUAUGUUAGAGAGUGAGAUGAGAAAAAACGGACAGUAAAUAUGUUAGAGAUGAGACACUGCAGUGAAUAUGUUAGAGAUGAGAAACUGACAGUAAAUAGUUUAGAGAUGAGAACACUGACAGUAAAUAGGUUAGAGAGAGAUGAGAAAACACUGACAGUAAAUAUGUUAGAGAGAGAUGAGAAAACACUAGACGUAAUAUGUUAUAGUGAGAAGAGAACACUGACAGUAUAUGUUAGAGAGAGAUGA
rnacentral:lncRNA from 1 species